rnacentral:rRNA from 1 species
GUCCGACUCUGUUGCCUCCGGGGCGACCCUGCCUUCGGGCGGGGGCUCCGGGUGGACACUUCAAACUCUUGCGUAACUUUGCAGUCUGAGUAAACUUAAUUAAUAAAUUAAAACUUUUAACAACGGAUCUCUUGGUUCUGGCAUCGAUGAAGAACGCAGCGAAAUGCGAUAAGUAAUGUGAAUUGCAGAAUUCAGUGAAUCAUCGAAUCUUUGAACGCACAUUGCGCCCCCUGGUAUUCCGGGGGGCAUGCCUGUUCGAGCGUCAUUUCACCACUCAAGCCUCGCUUGGUAUUGGGCAACGCGGUCCGCCGCGUGCCUCAAAUCGACCGGCUGGGUCUUCUGUCCCCUAAGCGUUGUGGAAACUAUUCGCUAAAGGGUGUUCGGGAGGCUACGCCGUAAAACAACCCCAUUUCUAAGGUUGACCUCGGAUCAGGUAGGGAUACCCGCUGAACUUAAGCAU